GGUGAACGCUGGCGGUAGGCCUAACACAUGCAAGUCGAACGGCAGCACAGUAAGAGCUUGCUCUUACGGGUGGCGAGUGGCGGACGGGUGAGGAAUACAUCGGAAUCUACUUUUUCGUGGGGGAUAACGUAGGGAAACUUACGCUAAUACCGCAUACGACCUACGGGUGAAAGCAGGGGAUCUUCGGACCUUGCGCGAUUGAAUGAGCCGAUGUCGGAUUAGCUAGUUGGCGGUGUAAAGGCCCACCAAGGCGACGAUCCGUAGCUGGUCUGAGAGGAUGAUCAGCCACACUGGAACUGAGACACGGUCCAGACUCCUACGGGAGGCAGCAGUGGGGAAUAUUGGACAAUGGGCGCAAGCCUGAUCCAGCCAUACCGCGUGGGUGAAGAAGGCCUUCGGGUUGUAAAGCCCUUUUGUUGGGAAAGAAAAGCAGCAGGUUAAUACCCCGCUGUUCUGACGGUACCCAAAGAAUAAGCACCGGCUAACUUCGUG
rnacentral:rRNA from 1 species